GAGCCAGAGUGGGUCAAGAAUUGGAGCCCGGGGUGGGGAAGUAUAGGGCGCCCCUCUGCAGGCCCUGCGUUCGCUUGGAGUUUGAGCCUUGGCCCUGUUCCCCAGGAGAGGUCUUGUUUGGGGUGCAGGACACAGCGUGUAAACCGCCCUUUGGACUCCCUGUGUCCUUGAGAUGAGGAAACAAACCCAGCGAGGAAGUGAAUUGCCCAAGUUCACAUAAUUGAAGAGGAUGGAUUAAAACUGAAGUUCUCUGAUUCCCAGUUAAAUAGUCAUUAUAAUACUGUU